rnacentral:rRNA from 1 species
AUUGAACGCUGGCGGCAUGCCUUACACAUGCAAGUCGAACGGUAACGCGGGGCAACCUGGCGACGAGUGGCGAACGGGUGAGUAAUGCAUCGGAACGUACCCGGAAGUGGGGGAUAACGUAGCGAAAGUUACGCUAAUACCGCAUAUUCUGUGAGCAGGAAAGAGGGGGAUCGCAAGACCUCUCGCUUUCGGAGCGGCCGAUGUCGGAUUAGCUAGUUGGCGGGGUAAAGGCCCACCAAGGCGACGAUCCGCAGCGGGUCUGAGAGGAUGAUCCGCCACACUGGGACUGAGACACGGCCCAGACUCCUACGGGAGGCAGCAGUGGGGAAUUUUGGACAAUGGGGGCAACCCUGAUCCAGCCAUGCCGCGUGAGUGAAGAAGGCCUUCGGGUUGUAAAGCUCUUUCGGCUGGGAAGAAAUCGCAUCUCCUAAUACGGGGUGUGGAUGACGGUACCAGCAUAAGAAGCACCGGCUAACUACGUGCCAGCAGCCGCCGUAAUAC